CUUAGAGGAUCAAUUAUGAUAUGGUUUUCAUAAUAAUCACGAUGAUCGUAAAACACGAUACUAAAAUACUCUCAUUUCCUUUCAGAUUGGAGAAACUUUAUCUUUCUGCCUAAUUGAUUCUUCUUAUUCGUUUUGCUAUACAUUGAAACUUUUCCAAUGGUUCAGAAUUACACUUAAUCUUGUAAGUAUAACCAUAUUUACUAAACUUUAGUAAAUCAUGACGAGUAGUCUUAUCGUUCUUUGUGGCGNCUUCUUAUUCGUUUUGCUAUACAUUGAAACUUUUCCAAUGGUUCAGAAUUACACUUAAUCUUGUAAGUAUAACCAUAUUUACUAAACUUUAGUAAAUCAUGACGAGUAGUCUUAUCGUUCUUUGUGGCGG
rnacentral:lncRNA from 1 species